UAUGUGGCUUUUCAAGUCCGCAGCGAAAUCCCGGGGCUGAAGCUGGAGUACGGUAGGGGCAGAGAGAAUUUUCGAUAGAGCGGUGAAAUGCAUCGAGAUAGAAAAGAACACCAACGGCGAAAACAUUCUGUUGGACUGACACUGACACGAA
rnacentral:ncRNA from 1 species